AUGCUGUAUAAUUUGACUCAUAACCCUCUGAUUGGUUGCUUUAAAAAAAAUAUAGCAACCAAUCAGAGUGUUAUGAGUCAGAUUACACAGGGCCUUGUGU